rnacentral:rRNA from 1 species
UAAGUUGGUAGUGAAAUCGUGUGGCUCAACCAUACAUCCAUUACCAAAACUGCUCGGCUUGAGGACGAGAGAGGUCACUGGAAUUCCAAGUGUAGGAGUGAAAUCCGUAGAUAUUUGGAGGAACACCGAUGGCGUAGGCAGGUGACUGGCUCGUUCCUGACACUAAGGCACGAAAGCGUGGGGAGCAAACGGGAUUAGAUACCCCGGUAGUCCACGCCGUAAACGAUGGAUGCUG